CCUCCCGCCGCUCGGGGCUGCCUGGCGCGGCCGGGCUUCCUGCUUCUGUUCUUUCUGUGCCCUCAGAGCAGGGGGUGACUCUUGGAACCCCCCUACCCUCGUUCUGCAUAAACGAUCUUCCCAAGUAUUGAUAUUAAACUGAUUGGUCUGUAGUUUUCUGGUCCAUUUACUAUGGUGGGAAGAUAGAAGGAAAGAUACCGUAUUUUUCCAACCAGGAAACGAAGACUCUGAUGUCUCUUCUAACAGUUACUCUCAGCAAAUCACUGGACUCAAUAACUUCUUGGCUGGAGUAAUGGGAGAUGCCUGCCUUUAACCGAUCUUGUCAUGUCCCCAUUUGAGGGAAGAAAGCACCUUUAAUAAGAGAAUUGAUGAGAAAGUUCAGAAUUAACCAUCUUCUUGCAAUAUUGUUUCCCAAACCAAAUCCUUCUAUCAAAGCAAUCUGUAGAAAGCAAGGUUAUUAAUGAUAAGAGCGGGAAUUGCUAUCAAAUUGCUGAACAACGAAAAGGCCAAAGUAUCAAAAAUUGCCAUUAUCUCUGCAACAAAGAUUAUAUGACAUGUGCGAAGAAAAAGCCAGAAUGAAUUCAAGUAUGUCUCCUGAAGGCAAAUGAUAUUAACUAAUAUUAUAAAGAGCAGUGGCAGUAAACGGAAAGUAUUUCAAGGUGUUCAGUUCCUUCUCUGCAGAUGAGGUUUGACCUUCGCGUUCUCUGAGGGCCUCAUUUCCCUGAACAAUGGGAAGUUUCAGGGGAGCACUCAUUUCAUUUGGGGUUUUUUGAGAAGGAAAGUUGGCUGGAAACAUCCUUUUUGUAAUAUCUGAAUAUAUUUUAUAAAUAUCCAUUGCAUAUAUGAUAGAAAGCAACAACUUAACAGUCAACAAUGCCAAUAUUUACUUUCCAGAUUACUGAUCCUUAGAAAUGGGCCCUCUUAUUUAUCUCAAGUAGUUAAACAGAUGCCCCUACCUUCCCUCAAUCUGUGCAUCUCUGUCCCUUAUCCCACUGGUUUCUGUAACCUUCCUCUUUUUGUGCUGCUAAAGAAUUUGCUUAUUCGGUAUUACUUUUUGUGGAGAGAAUUAUAUAAAGAUUGCCCAAUAAGGACACUUGUAGAGGGGUCCAAAAAGUAAACAUGGUAAUCACAAUUGCAUGGUCAAAUCCCUGUUACUUUUUAACAUACAUUAUAUAUUUAAGAUCA